GGGGAAUUUUGGACAAUGGGCGAAAGCCUGAUCCAGCAAUGCCGCGUGCAGGAUGAAGGCCUUCGGGUUGUAAACUGCUUUUGUACGGAACGAAAAGGCUCUGGCUAAUACCUGGGGCACAUGACGGUACCGUAAGAAUAAGCACCGGCUAACUACGUGCCAGCAGCCGCGGUAAUACGUAGGGUGCGAGCGUUAAUCGGAAUUACUGGGCGUAAAGCGUGCGCAGGCGGUUUUGUAAGACAGAUGUGAAAGGUACCGGCUCAACCGGUAACAUGCAUUUGAAACUGAAAGACUUGAGUAUUGGAGAGGCAAGUGGAAUUCCUAGUGUAGCGGUGAAAUGCGUAGAUAUGCGGAGGAACACCGAUGGCGAAGGCAAUCCCCUGGGCCUGCACUGACGCUCAUGCACGAAAGCGUGGGGAGCAAACA
rnacentral:rRNA from 1 species